rnacentral:sRNA from 1 species
ACAGCUGUUCCCCAGCCUGGUAGUGAACCCAGAGGCCUGUCUUGCUGUGCAGUGGGACAGGAAGUUGCAUUUGGGAGUCUCAUAGAACACACUGGAAGAUGUGUUUUAGCUUGGCCAGGUUCAUGCAGGACAGAUUUUCUGCAUAAAGAAAAUCAAUGACAGUUUCUGAAACUGCAUCCUGGAAGCCUUGACCACUUUGGGGCGAACCUUUCCUACACACCCAUACUUCUCUGCCCAGCUUGGAGCAGGACAGCUAUCGCUUUACAACAUUUUGAAGGCCUACUCACUUCUAGACCAGGAAGUGGGAUAUUGCCAAGGUCUCAGCUUUGUAGCAGGCAUUUUGCUUCUUCAUAUGAGUGAGGAAGAGGCGUUUAAAAUGCUCAAGUUUCUGAUGUUUGACAUGGGGCUGCGGAAACAGUAUCGGCCAGACAUGAUUAUUUUACAGAUCCAGAUGUACCAGCUCUCGAGGUUGCUUCAUGAUUACCACAGAGACCUCUACAAUCACCUGGAGGAGCACGAGAUCGGCCCCAGCCUCUACGCUGCCCCCUGGUUCCUCACCAUGUUUGCCUCACAGUUCCCGCUGGGAUUCGUAGCCAGAGUCUUUGAUAUGAUUUUUCUUCAGGGAACAGAGGUCAUAUUUAAAGUGGCUUUAAGUCUGUUGGGAAGCCAUAAGCCCUUGAUUCUGCAGCAUGAAAACCUAGAAACCAUAGUUGACUUUAUAAAAAGCACGCUACCCAACCUUGGCUUGGUACAGAUGGAAAAGACCAUCAAUCAGGUAUUUGAAAUGGACAUCGCUAAACAGUUACAAGCUUAUGAAGUUGAGUACCACGUCCUUCAAGAAGAACUUAUCGAUUCCUCUCCUCUCAGUGACAACCAAAGAAUGGAUAAAUUAGAGAAAACCAACAGCAGCUUACGCAAACAGAACCUUGACCUCCUUGAACAGUUGCAGGUGGCAAAUGGUAGGAUCCAAAGCCUUGAGGCCACCAUUGAGAAGCUCCUGAGCAGUGAGAGCAAGCUGAAGCAGGCCAUGCUUACCUUAGAACUGGAGCGGUCGGCCCUGCUGCAGACGGUGGAGGAGCUGCAGCGGCGGAGCGCAGAGCCCAGCGACCGGGAGCCUGAGUGCACGCAGCCCGAGCCCACGGUCGACUGACAGCUCUGCAGGAGAGAUUGCAACACCAUCCCACACUGUCCAGGCCUUAACUGAGAGGGACAGAAGACGCUGGAAGGAGAGAAGGAAGCGGGAAGUGUGCUUCUCAGGGAGGAAACCGGCUUGCCAGCAAGUAGAUUCUUACGAACUCCAACUUGCCAUUCAGGGGCCAUGUCCCAGUGUUUUUUUUUGUUGUUUUUAGAUACUAAAUCGUCCCUUCUCCAGUCCUGAUUACUGUACACAGUAGCUUUAGAUGGCGUGGACGUGAAUAAAUGCAACUUAUGUUUUCUUGUUGGUUCCUUUUUGAGUAUCACUGUGUUUGUAAAGAGCAUUCACAAUACGGUGGAAUUUCAAAAGCUGGAAGAGCUCGAGAUCAUUCCUCAGGCAAAGGCGUGGGUCCAUCAUUCUUCCAAGAGGGUUUGUGUGACGACUACACCCUCAGCGUCACUGGCAAGGUGCAGUUGGCUCUCGCCCAUUCUUGUUAUGGAAACCUAAGAUGAUCAUUGGGAAGAUCAGUGAUCUUGGGUCAUUGAUCCCUGGGUCAGAGGAUAGCGGUUUCCAUCAUAAACCAAGAUGAUGAGUUCAGCCUUUAUCCCUAGUGGUUCCACUAGAUGUAACUUAAAGGAGUUAACAUUUGAGGACUUUGUUCUACAUCAGAUUUUACUAUUUGAAUGUUUAAGAUCACUUUAUUGAAUUUGAAGAUCAUCAAACUAAGUAAAAUGAUUUAUUUAAUUUGGAUAUCCUGAUCACUGUCAAGUGAAAUUGAUCUCUCUCUUUGGUAUUUAAGGAAGUUUGUCUUUUAAAAAAAAAGAGUGUUUUCAUACAUUUUUGCUUAUCCCAUAAGUACAGUUGAUCAAAGUCAUAGUAGGUAAAUGCUUUAUGGGACAGCUGACACCUUUUAGACCCUACCAGGUAUUGCUAGCAUGUGAGCUGCAGUUGUGGGGUCUGAGAUAUUUCUUUGUGGUAGUUUCAUACCCAUACUAUAGAGUCAUGUAUUUAUUUUUGCCUGUUGUGUGAUGUAAUGCAAUCAUGUUCCUUUGAGUCUCCAUCCCUUGGAAAUCUGACUUCUUGCAGAAGGAGUAGGUACAUCGAGAUAUUCAGGGGUGCUCCAAGAGUCUGGGACUUUCAAAAAAAAAAAGAUCAGGCUGAAACUGCAGUCAGAUUUAUGACAGCUGACAGUUUUUCAGAGGUCGCACACAGUGACUCUCCUCUCUCAGGAUGACGAGGACCUGUGCCUUCAACAAGCAAAAUGCUGCUCACGGUUGUCCUGCUUGCAGCCAGUCACUGUGUAAAGCCUCUCUGAUGUGCACUUAAGAGUGGGUUGCUUUCUCACAAAGAUGGGGUUCUGUGCAGUCACAGGUCACUUCCUUGACAACACAAUCAUUUCUGAUCUUUAUCACUGUAACCACUUCUUCUAUUCCAUAGGAGUUUCUUUUGAUUCUCUCAGUUGUGGGGGCAUCUCUUAAUCCUGGGGUAAAAGGAGAGAUUGCCAUACUUAGACUCAUUGUGAGUCUCCCCGGCCAUUUCACGAGGAGACCACAGUGCUGCCACCAGUGCCUAAACAGGUGGCUGGCAUUCGAGACUUCCUCCUGUUUCCUGGGUCAGAGGAUAGCGGUUUCCAUCAUAAACCAAGAUGAUGAGUUCAGCCUUUAUCCCUAGUGGUUCCACUAGAUGUAACUUAUAGGAGUUAACAUUUGAGGACUUUGUUCUGCAUCAGAUUUUACUAUUUGAAUGUUUACUGUUGGAUUUUGGGCAUCUUAUUACUGUUACUCAAAAACAUUGACUCUGCAUCAAGAAAGAAACAAGAAAGCAAUAAAACAAGAAAUAAUUUAUGCUCACAUU